rnacentral:rRNA from 1 species
GGAAGGUCCGGGCGUNAUCCGGACUCUACNGGGUNUNAAGGGAGCGUAGGCGGUCCUGUAAGACAGAUGUGAAAUCCCCGGGCUCAACCUGGGAAUNGCAUNUUGUGACUGCAGGACUAGAGUUCGUCAGAGGGGGGUGGAAUNCCAAGUGUAGCAGUGAAAUGCGUAGAUAUUUGGAAGAACACCAAUGGCGAAGGCAGCCCCCUGGGAUGCGACUGACACUCAUGCACGAAAGCGUGGGGAGCAAACAGGAUUAGAUACCCUGGUAGUCCACGCCCUAAACGAUGUCUACUGGUUGUUGGGGUUUUUUAACCUUGGUAACGAAGCUAACGCGUGAAGUAGACCGCCUGGGGAGU